UACGUAGGGUGCGAGCGUUAAUCGGAAUUACUGGGCGUAAAGCGUGCGCAGGCGGUUAUGCAAGACAGAUGUGAAAUCCCCGGGCUUAACCUGGGAACCGCAUUUGUGACUGCAUAGCUGGAGUACGGCAGAGGGGGAUGGAAUUCCGCGUGUAGCAGUGAAAUGCGUAGAUAUGCGGAGGAACACCGAUGGCGAAGGCAGUCCCCUGGGCCUGUACUGACGCUCAUGCACGAAAGCGUGGGGAGCAAACAGG
rnacentral:rRNA from 1 species